rnacentral:rRNA from 1 species
CCUACGGGAGGCAGCAGUGAGGAAUAUUGGGCAAUGGAGGCAACUCUGACCCAGCCAUGCCGCGUGAGUGAAGAAGGUUUUCGGGUUGUAAAGCUCUUUCGGCUGUGACGAUGAUGACGGUAGCAUCUAAAGACUCCCCGGCUACCUUCGUGCCAGCAGCCGCGGUAAUACGAAGGGGGCAAGCGUUGUUCGGAUUUACUGGGCGUAAAGGGAGUGUAGGCGGUUUAGUAAGAUAGUGGUGAAAUCCCAGGGCUUAACUUUGGAAUUGCCAUUAUAACUAUUAGACUAGAAUGACAGAGAGGAUAGCGGAAUACCCAGUGUAGAGGUGAAAUGCGUAGAUAUUGGGUAGAACACCAGUGGCGAAGGCGACUAGCUGGAUGGAAAUUGACGCUGAGGCUCGAAAGCAUGGGGAUCAAACAGGAUUAGAUACCCGAGUAGUC